UCACCGUCACUGGGAUUGUCACUGUCACCAGGAUUGUCACCGCUGCUAGGUUUGUCACCGUCACUGGGUUUGUCACACUGCUGGGUUUGUCACCAUUACCGCUGUCACCGUCACCAGGAUUGUCACCGUUCCUGGGUUUGUCACCGUCACCGCUGUCACCGUCACUGGGGCUGUCACUGUCACCGGGAUUGUCACCACUGCUAAGUUUGUCACCAUUACUGUCACUGUCACCAUCACUGGGUUUGUCACCUUGCUGAGUUUGUCACCAUUACCGCUGUCACCGUCACCAGGAUUGUCACCGUUCCUGGGAUUGUCGCUGUCACCAGGAUUGUCACCGCUGCUGGGUUUGUCACCAUCACUGGGUUUGUCACAUUGCUGGGUUUGUCACCAUUACCGCUGUCACCGUCACCGGGAUUGUCACCGUUCCUGGGAUUGUCACCGUUACCAUUACUGGGAUCGUCACCGUUAUCACUGUCACCAUUACUGGGACUGUCACCAUUACUGGGAUCGUCACCGUUAUCACUGUCACCGUUACUGGGAUUGUCACCAUUACUGGGACUGUCACCAUUAUCACCUUCACCGUCACUGGGAUUGUCACCAUUAUUGUGUCACCAUUACUGAGGCUGUCACCGUUACCACCAUCACCAUUACUGGGACUGUCACCAUUAUCACCAUCACCAUUACUGGGAUUGUCACCAUUACUGGGACCGUCCCCAUCCCCGUGCAGAGCAGCAGGAGAGGUGCGGUGAGGGUGAGUGUGAGUGUGUGCCUGUGAGUGUGAGUGUGAGUGUGGGGGGUCACGUUGGUGGUGGGUGUGCAACAGGUGUGAGCACGGCGUCGUGCAACACGGGGGGGGUGGUGGGGCAUGGGUGCAAGGCAGGGGUGCGCACAUGGUUGCUCACGUGUAGGUGCAAUGCACACUCUUGUGGA
ensembl:lncRNA